GAUGAACGCUGACAGAAUGCUUAACACAUGCAAGUCAACUUGAAUUUGGGUUUUUAACUUAGGUUUGGGUGGCGGACGGGUGAGUAACGCGUAAAGAACUUGCCUCACAGUUAGGGACAACAUUUGGAAACGAAUGCUAAUACCUAAUAUUAUGAUAAUAGGGCAUCCUAUAAUUAUGAAAGCUAUAAGCGCUGUGAGAGAGCUUUGCGUCCCAUUAGCUAGUUGGAGAGGUAACGGCCCACCAAGGCGAUGAUGGGUAGCCGGCCUGAGAGGGUGAUCGGCCACAAGGGGACUGAGACACGGCCCUUACUCCUACGGGAGGCAGCAGUGGGGAAUAUUGGACAAUGGACCAAGAGUCUGAUCCAGCAAUUCUGUGUGCACGAUGAAGUUUUUCGGAAUGUAAAGUGCUUUCAGUUGGGAAGAAAUAAAUGACGGUACCAACAGAAGAAGUGACGGCUAAAUACGUGCCAGCAGCCGCGGUAAUACGUAUGUCACGAGCGUUAUCCGGAUUUAUUGGGCGUAAAGCGCGUCUAGGUGGUUAUGUAAGUCUGAUGUGAAAAUGCAGGGCUCAACUCUGUAUUGCGUUGGAAACUGUGUAACUAGAGUACUGGAGAGGUAAGCGGAACUACAAGUGUAGAGGUGAAAUUCGUAGAUAUUUGUAGGAAUGCCGAUGGGGAAGCCAGCUUACUGGACAGAUACUGACGCUAAAGCGCGAAAGCGUGGGUAGCAAACAGG
rnacentral:rRNA from 1 species